rnacentral:snoRNA from 1 species
CUGCAGCCAAUUAAGCCAACUGGCCCCCUCUCUCCAUGGGGGCCCAGUGUGCAGUGACUGCAGAAAGCAGCCUCCUUGGUAGUAUACGUGGCCUGUUGCUUGUAUGGGUUGCCCUAAGGGACCUUGGAGACUGCC